rnacentral:tRNA from 1 species
GGGGGCGUAGCUCAUUUGGGAGAGCACCUGUUUUGCAAUCAGGAGGUAGUCGGUUCGAUCCCGACCGUUUCCACCA